rnacentral:rRNA from 1 species
AACGAACGCUGGCGGCAGGCUUAACACAUGCAAGUCGAACGAGAUCUUCGGAUCUAGUGGCAGACGGGUGAGGAACACGUGGGAACAUUCCUUUCAGUUCGGAAUAACGUUGGGAAACUAACGCUAAUACCGGAUACGUCCUUCGGGAGAAAGAUUUAUCGCUGAAAGAUUGGCCCGCGUCCGAUUAGCUAGUUGGCGAGGUAACGGCUCACCAAGGCUACGAUCAGUAGCUGAUCUGAGAGGAUGAUCAGCCAUAUUGGGACUGAGACACGGCCCAAACUCCUACGGGAGGCAGCAGUGGGGAAUAUUGGACAAUGGGCGCAAGCCUGAUCCAGCCAUGCCGCGUGAGUGAUGAAGGCCUUCGGGUUGUAAAGCUCUUUUGUCCGGGAGGAUAAUGACUGUACCGGAAGAAUAAGCCCCGGCAAACUUCGUGCCAGCCGCCGCCGUAA